UACAGAGGGUGCAAGCGUUGUUCGGAAUUAUUGGGCGUAAAGGGAGUGUAGGCGGUUUGAUAAGUCUUCUGUGAAAUCUACGGGCUUAGCCUGUAACGUGCAGAGGAAACUGUCAGGCUUGAGUGUCGGAGAGGAUAGGGGAAUUCCCGGUGUAGAGGUGAAAUUCGUAGAGAUCGGGAGGAACACCAGUGGCGAAGGCGCCUAUCUGGCUGACAACUGACGCUGAGACUCGAAAGCAUGGGGAGCAAACAGGAUUAGAUACCCUGGUAGUCCAUGCCGUAAACGAUGAUAGCUAGAUGUGUGAGGUAUUGACCCCUUACGUGUCGAAGUCAACACGAUAAGCUAUCCGCCUGGGGAGUACGGUCGCAAGAUUAAA
rnacentral:rRNA from 1 species